rnacentral:rRNA from 1 species
AUUGAACGCUGGCGGCAGGCCUAACACAUGCAAGUCGAACGGUAACAGGAAGCAGCUUGCUGCUUCGCUGACGAGUGGCGGACGGGUGAGUAAUGUCUGGGAAACUGCCUGAUGGAGGGGGAUAACUACUGGAAACGGUAGCUAAUACCGCAUAACGUCGCAAGACCAAAGAGGGGGACCUUAGGGCCUCUUGCCAUCGGAUGUGCCCAGAUGGGAUUAGCUAGUAGGUGGGGUAACGGCUCACCUAGGCGACGAUCCCUAGCUGGUCUGAGAGGAUGACCAGCCACACUGGAACUGAGACACGGUCCAGACUCCUACGGGAGGCAGCAGUGGGGAAUUUUGCACAAUGGGCGCAAGCCUGAUGCAGCCAUGCCGCGUGUAUGAAGAAGGCCUUCGGGUUGUAAAGUACUUUCAGCGGGGAGGAAGGGAGUAAAGUUAAUACCUUUGCUCAUUGACGUUACCCGCAGAAGAAGCACCGGCUAACUCCGUG